GUAGUCAUAUGCUUGUCUCAAAGAUUAAGCCAUGCAUGUCUAAGUAUAAGCAACUAUACUGUGAAACUGCGAAUGGCUCAUUAAAUCAGUUAUCGUUUAUUUGAUAGUGCCCUUACUCGGAUAACCGUGGUAAUUCUAGAGCUAAUACGUGCAUAAAUCUCCGACUUUGGAAGGAGAGUAUUUAUUAGAUAAAAAACCAAUGCCCUUUUGGGCUGCUUGGUGAUUCAUAAUAACGCAACGAAUCGCAUGGCCUUGCGCUGGCGAUGGUUCAUUCAAAUUUCUGCCCUAUCAACUUUCGAUUGUAGUUUAGUGGACUACAAUGGUUUCAACGGGUAACGGGGAAU
rnacentral:rRNA from 1 species